rnacentral:rRNA from 1 species
ACUUACGACCAUACCACGUUGAAAGCACGCCAUCCCGUCCGAUCUGCAAGUUAAGCAACGUUGGGCGUUCCUUAGUACUUGGAACGGAUACGUCCUGGGAAUCGGCUGUGUUGUCGUUU